GACGAACGCUGGCGGCGUGGAUUAGGCAUGCAAGUCGGACGAUAGGGCUUUAUCGUAAGAUAGAGUUUGAGAGUGGCGAACGGGUGAGUAACACGUAGGAAUCUACCCUUAAGACGGGGACAACCCAGGGAAACUUGGGCUAAUACCGGAUGAGAGUGCGAGAGAUUGCAUUUAAAAGGAUGGCGAAAGUUGUCGCUUAGGGAUGAGCCUGCGGUCUAUUAGUUAGUUGGUGAGGUAAGAGCUCACCAAGGCGAUGAUAGAUAGGCGGCCUUAACGGGUGGUCGCCCACACUGGGAUUGAGAUACGGCCCAGACUCCUACGGGAGGCAGCAGUCGAGAAUAGUCUACAAUGGCCGGAAGGCUGAUAGUGCGACGCCGCGUGAACGAGGGAGCCCUUCGGGUGUAAAGUUCUUUUCUAUACGAGCAGUGCUAUAUAUAUGGAUAGUAUAUAUAGAGGGAUAGUAGUAUAGGAAUAAGCAACGGCUAACUCCGUGCCAGUAGCCGAC
rnacentral:rRNA from 1 species